rnacentral:tRNA from 1 species
CCUUCGAUAGCUCAGUUGGUAGAGCGGUGGACUGUAGAAGCCUGAUGUGUCGAUAGAGAGUAAUCCAUAGGUCACUGGUUCAAAUCCGGUUCGAAGGA